rnacentral:rRNA from 1 species
GGAAGUAUAGCUUGCUAUACGACCUAGCGGCGGACGGGUGAGUAAUGCUUAGGAAUCUGCCUAUUAGUGGGGGACAACAUUCCGAAAGGAAUGCUAAUACCGCAUACGCCCUACGGGGGAAAGCAGGGGAUCUUCGGACCUUGCGCUAAUAGAUGAGCCUAAGUCAGAUUAGCUAGUUGGUGGGGUAAAGGCCUACCAAGGCGACGAUCUGUAGCGGGUCUGAGAGGAUGAUCCGCCACACUGGGACUGAGACACGGCCCAGACUCCUACGGGAGGCAGCAGUGGGGAAUAUUGGACAAUGGGCGCAAGCCUGAUCCAGCCAUGCCGCGUGUGUGAAGAAGGCCUUUUGGUUGUAAAGCACUUUAAGCGAGGAGGAGGCUACUUAGAUUAAUACUCUAGGAUAGUGGACGUUACUCGCAGAAUAAGCACCGGCUAACUCUGUGCCAGCAGCCGCGGUAAUACAGAGGGUGCGAGCGUUAAUCGGAUUUACUGGGCGUAAAGCGUGCGUAGGCGGCUUUUUAAGUCGGAUGUGAAAUCCCUGAGCUUAACUUAGGAAUUGCAUUCGAUACUGGGAAGCUAGAGUAUGGGAGAGGAUGGUAGAAUUCCAGGUGUAGCGGUGAAAUGCGUAGAGAUCUGGAGGAAUACCGAUGGCGAAGGCAGCCAUCUGGCCUAAUACUGACGCUGAGGUACGAAAGCAUGGGGAGCAA